rnacentral:rRNA from 1 species
GAUGAACGCUGACAGAAUGCUUAACACAUGCAAGUCGAUGGGGAAGUGGUGCUUGCACCAUGGCAACCAUGGCGGACGGGUGAGUAACGCGUAAGGGACUUACCUGCAGGACUGGGAUAACAGGGGGAAACUCCUGACAAGACCGGAUAAUGUCAUGGAGCUGCAUGGCUUUAUGAUGAAAGGAGACGCCUGCGGAGAGCCUUGCGUCCUAUUAGCUAGUUGGUGAGGUAAUGGCUCACCAAGGCGAAGGUAGGUAGCCGGCCUGAGAGGGAGGACGGCCACAAGGGGACUGAGAUACGGCCGAUACUCCUGCGGGAGGCAGGAGUGGAGAAUAGUGGACAAUGGGGGCGACCCUGAUAGAGAAAUUCUGUGUGCACGAAGAAGGUUUUCGGAUUGUAAAGUGCUUUCAGCAGAGAAGAAGUAAGUGACGGUACCUGCUAAAGAAGCGACGGCUAAAUACGUG